rnacentral:tRNA from 1 species
UGUAGCUCAGUUGGAUAGAGCGUAGGUCUCCGAAGCCUGAGGUCGCGGGUUCAACUCCCGCCA